rnacentral:rRNA from 1 species
UCAAGCGACUAAGUGUAUGUGGUGGAUGCCUUGGCGAUCACAGGCGAUGAAGGACGUGACAGCCUGCGAAAAGCUGUGGGGAGCUGGCAAAUAAGCUUUGAUCCACAGAUGUCCGAAUGAGGGAACUCACCUGCUUUGCAGGUAUCCCAUCCUGAAUAUAUAGGGAUGGGAGGCGAACGAAGCGAACUGAAACAUCUAAGUAGCUUCAGGAAAAGAAAUCAACCGAGAUUCCGAAAGUAGCGGCGAGCGAAAUCGGAUCAGCCCAGCACUCGAUAGCAGCCAACUUACGGGAACGGUCUGGAAAGUCCGGCCAUAGAGGGUGAUAGCCCCUUACUGGAAAAGGCAGCUGUGGUACUAAGUGUGCGAUAAGUAGAGCGGGACACGUGACAUCCUGCUCGAAGAUGGGGGGACCAUCCUCCAAGGCUAAAUACUCGUGAUCGACCGAUAGCGUACCAGUACUGUGAAGGAAAGGUUAAAAGAACCCCGGGAGGGGAGUGAAAUAGAUCCUGAAACCGCAUACAUACAAACAGUAGGAGCCUCGUUAAGGGGUGACUGCGUACCUUUUGCAUAAUGGGUCAGCGACUUACGUUUAAUGGCGAGCUUAACCGUAUAGGGGAGGCGCAGCGAAAGCGAGUUCGAACAGAGCGUUCAGUCGUUAGGCGUAGACCCGAAACCAGAUGAUCUAUCCAUGGCCAGGUUGAAGGUGUGGUAACACACACUGGAGGACCGAACCGACUAGUGUUGCAAAAUUAGCGGAUGAGCUGUGGAUAGGGGUGAAAGGCUAAACAAAUCUGGAGAUAGCUGGUUCUCCCCGAAAACUAUUGAGGUAGUGCCUCGUGUAUGACUCCAGGGGGUAGAGCACUGUUAUGGCUAGGGGGACAUGGCGUCUUACCAAACCAUGGCAAACUCCGAAUACUUGGAAGUUUGAGCACGGGAGACAGAGCACCGGGUGCUAACGUCCGGACUCAAGAGGGAAACAACCCAGACCGCCGGCUAAGGUCCCUAAUAUUGACUAAGUGGAAAACGAAGUGGAAAGGCUAAGACAGUCAGGAAGUUGGCUUAGAAGCAGCCAUCCUUCAAAGAAAGCGUAAUAGCUCACUGAUCGAGUCUUUCUGCGCGGAAGAUGUAACGGGGCUAAGUCAAUAACCGAAGCCGCGGAUUCACACUUAUGUGUGAGUGGUAGGGGAGCGUUCUGUAAGCCUGCGAAGGUGACUCGUAAGGGUUGCUGGAGGUAUCAGAAGUGCGAAUGCUGACAUGAGUAACGUUAAAGCGGGUGAAAAGCCCGCUCGCCGUAAGCCCAAGGUUUCCUGCUCUACGUUCAUCGGAGCAGGGUGAGUCGGCCCCUAAGGUGAGGCUGAGAAGCGUAACUGAUGGGAACAAGGUUAAUAUUCCUUGACCACCGCUGAAUGCGAAGGGGGGACGGAGUAUUGAAGAUCAUCCGGGUGUUGGAUAUCCCGGUUUGCGAGCGUAGGAGGCUGACAGGCAAAUCCGUCAGCGAAUCUCCGAGGCAAAGCAUCGAGCUCUCUUUUGAGCGAAGUGAUUGGAUGUGCUUCCAGGAAAAGCCUCUAAGCUCCAGUUCAGCGGGACCGUACCGCAAACCGACACUGGUGGGCGAGCUGAAUAUGCUCAGGCGCUUGAGAGAACUCAGGAGAAGGAACUCGGCAAAUUGACACCGUAACUUCGGGAUAAGGUGUGCCUUUGUAGCGUGGAGGGAGAAACACCCCGAGCGCGAAGAGGUCUCAGAUAAUCGGUGGCUGCGACUGUUUAUUAAAAACACAGCACUCUGCAAAGACGAAAGUCGACGUAUAGGGUGUGAUGCCUGCCCGGUGCUGGAAGAUUAAUUGAUGGGGUGCAAGCUCCUGAUCGAAGUCCCAGUAAACGGCGGCCGUAACUAUAACGGUCCUAAGGUAGCGAAAUUCCUUGUC